rnacentral:rRNA from 1 species
CAGCCGCCGCGGUAAAACGUAGGUGGCAAGCGUUGUCCGGAAUUAUUGGGCGUAAAGGGCUCGCAGGCGGUUUCUUAAGUCUGAUGAGAAAGCCCCCGGCUCAACCGGGGAGGGUCAUUGGAAACUGGGAAACUUGAGUGCAUAAGAGGAGAGUGGAAUUCCACGUGUAGCGGUGAAAUGCGUAGAGAUGUGGAGGAACACCAGUGGCGAAGGCGACUCUCUGGUCUGUAACUGACGCUGAGGAGCGAAAGCGUGGGGAGCGAACAGGAUUAGAUACCCCCGUAGUCCCUGUCUCUUAUAC